GCCGUGCACAGUCCCGUUGGGAAAGAUCUCUAGGUGGAAGCCGGUCCGGCAGUAGAGCUGUCUUCGCCGCAGGAUCCCCUUGAGACCUCGCUGUUCAUCUGGCAGAGGACAGAACUGAGACCCAGAGGGGCCCAGCCACUUCGGAGACUGUGUGCUCCUGCUCCGGGGAGCAGGGCCUGUUUCACUUUUGCCUUUGUGUCCCAGCGCGAACCACGGUGUGGGGCACUUAGUAGGCGCUUAAUAAACACUUGUUGAUCACUACACAGGCCUCUUGAGAGCAGAAUAUACGCAAGGAGGCUUGAAGCCUGUUGUGGGCUUUUCUUCCACCUUUUUCAUGAGGGAAACAGGUGUUUCCUAGCUCUCUCCUGUGCUCGGCUCCCUGACACUCUAUCUGCAGCAGCUGCAGCCGCCGCUGGCAAGGGCUGGAGAGAA